rnacentral:lncRNA from 1 species
AGCUGCACGAACCCCGCCCUCAGGUUCCUCACAUGCCACUGCUUGUAAGUCUCCGGCCUCUCCAACCUCUCCGUGCCCUCGCAGGCAAGGACGUUGAGCGCCUCUCGACCGAAGAGGACCUUCUCGAUCAGCUGCCUCGAUUCAUCCUCCUGUGGCGCAUUCGUCCCGAUCAUGUCGAACAAGGAAGAAUAGUGGAACAAAGCUUCCCUGAAGCGGGUGACGAAGAACGGAGCACUGUACGUGCCAUUGACGACGCCGUGAAUGAACACAUCCGGGUUGAUCUUUCUUAUGGUGUUCAACACCUUGUCCCUCGGGUUAUCCACCACCACCGUCUCGUCCAACAGGUUCUUGAACCGGUACAAACAGUUGACGACGACCACCUCGUCGUCACGAAGGUCGAGGUCCUCCACUCGGAUGUCAUCCCACUUGGCCGCUACAAUCGAGCGGAACUCGAAAGGGAUGCGGAAGUUGGAUGCGUAAUCGGCUAAGCGACGCCCCGUUUCGUCGAUCAGCUCGGUCGGGCGGAAUCCAUGCCUGGGGACGUCGAUGCCGGUCAUCCGAACCUUCGGAGGGGCAUCAGGCCGAGAAGAGAGGCGUUGCAGGAAACAUGGCCACUGGAAUCCGUAGUACAUGCCGAAAUCUAUGAUGUGCAACCUCGUUGCCUUCUCUGCCACAUUGAGAAUGGUCUGCGUGGCAAAGAAAUGGGAGACCUUCCUGAAAGGACAGGCAGCCAUGUAAAGCUGGUAAGCUUUCAGGACGUCGGUGACGGGAAUCCGUUUUGCCGUCAAGGAAUGGUAGAUCUGGCUCCCUGUACCGGCGAGGCGAGCCUGCAGGCCGUCGGCGAACCAAUGAGCCAACCUCUGGUUUGCGUCUCCAAAAGGCGAGGAGUGCUGUCUGAUCUGCUUCAGCAACUCAUUUGCGCUUCGAUGAUCAUCUGCGGCCACGGCAUGAGCGCAAUGGGUCAGGAGAGAACUUAGAUCGACCACCUCCCUCUUCGGUUGCUUCUUCCCUCGACCCUUCCUGCCUUUGGAACGACUGCCGUGAGAGACUUUACUUGCUUCGUUCUGCGAUCUUUCUCGGAAUUUGUCAACGGCCUUGGCGCAACUCCCCCCGCUGCACAGGAAAACCUCAUCAAACAAUUUGGUGCGACCGGUCUCCCCGGAGAAGACAGCAGAUUGUUUGAUGCUCCUUCCCUCCUCCAAUUCCAGAUCCUCGCCGUGCCGGUUUUUCCGACCUCUCGACGGAUGAACUGCAUGUUCACUGACUCCACCCUCUGCGUUGACCUCGACCAGUCUCGUCCCCUCAUUUGGCACUUGUGGUAGGUAGAAAUUAUUGGCUUCAAAGUUGAUCGCCAACUUAUCAUUGCUCGGAAGGAAUUUAUGUGCCUCCUCAAUCC